rnacentral:rRNA from 1 species
UACGGAGGGUGCAAGCGUUAAUCGGAAUCACUGGGCGUAAAGCGCGCGUAGGCGGUUUAGUAAGUCAGAGGUGAAAUCCCACGGCUCAACCGUGGAACUGCCUUUGAUACUGCUUUGCUUGAGUUUGUGAGAGGAUAGUGGAAUUCCAGGUGUAGGAGUGAAAUCCGUAGAGAUCUGGAGGAACAUCAGUGGCAAAGGCGACUAUCUGGCACAACACUGACGCUGAGGUGCGAAAGCGUGGGUAGCAAACAGG